CCAUAGCCGCGAUAGCAGUGAAAAUCCUUCCUGUUUUUUCUUUAAAAAACAGGAAGAUUGCAACGAAUAGCGGGAAAAAGC
rnacentral:sRNA from 1 species